UACUGCACAGACGGAAGUUAGGUCCAGAUUUGGUCGCCUAGUCAAACCUGUGAACAGGCUCAUACAGACUAUGUCCAGGCAGGAUGUCGAUCAGAACAAGUUCGAUGUUAAAGCUGUUUGUAAAUCAAUGUUCCAGGCCUUUCCUGAUUGAUUUCUUCGCCAGCUAAACUAUAAUCUUCUUGGGUCUGACGUUUUUUUGUUUUGUCUGGACAUGAUAUUUUCAUUUUGUAUUGUGUGAUGAGCCUGUACUACACUGUGUGUUGGGGUUUUGUGGGGUGUACAAGGCACCCUGUAGGCAGUUGAUGGAUUGGGGGAUAAGCGCUACCCUCAUACCACUUCAUCCUUAUGGGAUACGUUAGUUGUCUGUGUUCUUAAUGCUGACCCCAGGUGAUCUGUGAUUUAUGUUAUUUCCGAUGAUGUAUACUGUGUGGUUGAUGCUCGUGUUCGAUAAAAUUCAGUGGGGGUGAGUGUAACAGAGUUACAAAUGUGUUUCUUUGUUAAAUUAUUAUUUCUUAUUCAUUUUAUAUUGAGAAUUUGUGAAUUUUAUCUUAUUCAGUUAUUUUUAUUUAUUUUGUUGUUUUUGCCUGCGGGGGUCGCCCUUCUGCUCUCCGCCUCGUUUGUGUUUCCUGGGCUUCCGUAGUCUAUUCUAGCCCUCGUAGCUCCUCUGCCCCCCCCUUUUUCCUCAGAGCGUUGUUCUGCGCUGCUGUGGAGUCGGAGUGCAGGGAGAAGGAGUUGAGGAGGUUGUUAAUUUGUUUUCCCUUCUUCCCCCAG